AUGAGGAGGGACAGACAGAAGAUGAGGAGGGACAGACAGAAGAUGAGGAGGGACAGACAGAGGAUGAGGAGGGACAGACAGAAGAUGAGGAGGGACAGACAGAAGGUGAGGAGGGACAGACAGAAGGUGAGGAGGACAGACAGAAGGUGAGGAGGGACAGACAGAAGAUGAGGAGGACAGACAGAAGGUGAGGAGGGACAGACAGAAGAUGAGGAGGGACAGACAGAAGGUGAGGAGGACAGACAGAAGGUGAGGAGGGACAGACAGAAGGUGAGGAGGGACAGACAGAAGGUGAGGAGGGACAGACAGAAGAUGAGGAGGACAGACAGAAGAUGAGGAGGGACAGACAGAAGGUGAGGAGGGACAGACAGAAGGUGAGGAGGACAGACAGAAGGUGAGGAGGGACAGACAGAAGGUGAGGAGGGACAGACAGAAGGUGAGGAGGGACAGACAGAAGGUGAGGAGGACAGACAGAAGAUGAGGAGGGACAGACAGAAGAUGAGGAGGGACAGACAGAAGGUGAGGAGGACAGACAGAAGAUGAGGAGGGACAGACAGAAGGUGAGGAGGACAGACAGAAGGUGAGGAGGACAGACAGAAGGUGAGGAGGGACAGACAGAAGGUGAGGAGGACAGACAGAAGGUGAGGAGGGACAGACAGAAGGUGAGGAGGGACAGACAGAAGGUGAGGAGGGACAGACAGAAGAUGAGGAGGGACAGACAGAAGGUGAGGAGGACAGACAGAAGGUGAGGAGGGACAGACAGAAGGUGAGGAGGGACAGACAGAAGGUGAGGAGGGACAGACAGAAGGUGAGGAGGACAGACAGAAGGUGAGGAGGCUCUGAAGGUUUCUUAUUGUGAUGUUUGUUUCUGAUGUGUAACUGAAGGCUCUCCUGUGGGAGCCACC